rnacentral:rRNA from 1 species
GACGAACGCUGGCGGCGUGCCUAAUACAUGCAAGUCGAACGCUUCUUUCCUCUCCAUUUCUUGCCCUCAAUUGGAACGAAGAGUUGCGUACGGGUGAGUAACACGUGCGUUACGUACCCAUCAACGUGGGAUAACACAUGGUAACAGCGGCUAAUACCUCUUAACAGUUUAUUCCGCAUGGCAUAAUAGUAUAAGGUCCUUUCGGGUGUCGCCGGCGUUUGGACCCGCGGUGGAUUAGCUAGUUGGUGAGGUAACGGCUCACCAAGGUCACGAUGCAUAGCCGACCUGAGAGGGUGAUCGGCCACACUGGGACUGAGACACGGCCCAGACUCCUACGGGAGGCAGCAGUAGGGAAUCUUCGGCAAUGGACGAAAGUCUGACCGAGCAACGCCGCGUGAGUGAAGAAGGUUUUCGGAUCGUAAAACUCUGUUGUUAGAGAAGAACAAGGGCGUUAGUAAAUGAACGUCCCCGGACGGUAACUAACCAGGAAGCCAAGGCUAACUUAGUG